CUUUUGCAAGUCUGUUGACAAUUAUGUCAUUAGGAUAGGAAAGUAUAAAACCACUCUGUGGAUAGUGCUGAAAACAAUUACUUCAUAUCUGAAUUCCUCCAUCUUUAUGCGACUUUACUGGUUGACUUUCCAUAAUGUCUAUUUGCAUGUCUCUUGCUGCUAGAAUUGCAAUUCAUAUUCCAAGAUCUGCAGCUUCAUUAAAAAUGUCAGCUGGAUUUCACAGAGUUUCCUUACUAGAUGCAUUGUUUGACGUUGUGCCUCCAUUGGGGUUUUGUUUCAAGACAUUGGAAGUGUAAACCUUUGAAAAUCAGACUUGACCAUACGCAUUGGAACGUAACAUGCACAAUGAGUUCGCGGUUCAAUCUCUAAUAUGAACCCUUAUGGACAAUGGCGGUGUAGAAACCAGACUCCCCUUUCACAGGUCCAUGGCCACGCACAGUCUGUGCCAACAACUCUUCACCACUAACCCCUUCAAAAGCAUCUGUACAGAGGGCAUCAGCUUCCAGCGGGGAUCCAACCGUUCAACUACAUGUGGGAGGUUGGCGUCGGCCCUGACCUGGCUAUGCAUCGUAGGUACGUUAUGCUCUAUGAAGACCAGUGACCAUGGACGUUUCUCUCCUCCACCGGAUACAUCUGAGGAUUUAACAUUGAGCCAGUUUGGUACAUUUGAAAUCCUAUCGAGGGACGCCAAGACGCUGGAAGUUCAGCAUGCCUCUACCAAAUGCUGCCUCAUCACAACUACUGAGCUGAUCUGCGAGACUAGUGUCUUCCACAGAAGAGGCGAAGACUGAUGACAAACAGGACUCUGGCCAUCAUUGGUGCAGAACCUCCCUCCUGGACUCCACCUGCAGGCCCCAAGAGACAGUAUACACCCACCAGGGAUCUCUAACUUUGGACUCAACACCUGUGAAACAAAGUCAUGGCAGGGUUCAAAGUCUCUAGGCUAGUAGUGGCUUUGUCCCAAUAGUAUAUUUGGAUUAAAUUGAUUGGCCAUGUGACUACCAGUGUGAAUGGGAUCGUGUUCUACAAGCAAUACUCACCCGAAGACGGGUCUGUCGUCACCCAGACAUCUUAUAGUUUAGCUUUGCCAGUGGCUAGACUCCUGUUGGGAUUCCUCUGACGAUGACACUGACUACAAAGUAUCCUGUUACAAUCUGCUAAAUUAAUUUGGGUCCCCUGGCCACACCCAGCAAUUUAAACUAGCAUUGAAUCAAUACUUUUUUUUCUUCUAUUUAAAAUGAAUAAAUUGUUGGCUCUUGAAGACUUCAUCCAGUACCUUUGUUUUUAAAAGCAAUAUACCAAGCUUAACUGCAGACUUCAAGGAGUUGGUCUGAUAGACUUAGUGAUGUCAUUGGAGUCAAUUUUUCAUGCAAGUUUCGUGCAGCUGUAUAAAGAUACUAUAUUAAGUUGUGCUGCCUGUGUAAACACAGCCCAAUUAUUUUCCAGUGACUGUGUCCAAUAAUAGGGUAAAAGAUGACUGCCUGUGUAAAUGCAGCCUUUGCACAGGGAUAUUCAACUCAUACCCUACGAGGUCCAAUGCCUGCUGGUUUUGUUCUGCUAAUGAAUUGCACCCACCUUGUGUCCCAGGUCGGGGGCGCAGUGGAACUGCCUUCAAGGUCCAGUUUUGAAUUUGAGGGACUUACAGCAUCCAAGAAUGUGUUUACUUGUUUUGAGCCCUUUUCUCUAGGCUUAAAAUUAGCUGUCAAAUGGUGCAGCGAUUACAUGACUGCUACUUGGACAAUUCAAAUAGUGUUACCCAACAUUAUAGCAAAACCCUUAGCAUGCUCAUUGUGAAGACAUGGAAAUAAAAUAGUAAUUGGAUUAUAAAAAAACCUGUCAUUCUUCUCUAAAGCAAACAUGUUUGGUUAUGCAGUCGACUCCAUGUGCCAUUUGAAGUAAAAUCUUGUCAGAUCAGCAAAAAUACAUUAACUCAUGCUUGUAAUUUAAAGCCUGUGUAAAAGGGGCAAUCUGCAGUUAGUACACUUUUGGGGACUUUGAUAUGCCCACUGAUAUAUAUAUAAGUGGAUUUGGAAGUAUUCAUACCCCUUCACCACAUUUACGUUACAUCCUUUUUCAAAAGUGGAUGAAAUAAAUCUAUUACCCAGACAGGGUUUUAAGAAAUGUUUCAAAAUUUAAGGUAUCUGUACUCCCAGUCAUGUGAAGUCAAUGAGGGCC
rnacentral:lncRNA from 1 species